rnacentral:rRNA from 1 species
GAUGAACGCUGGCGGCGUGCCUAAUACAUGCAAGUCGAGCGAACGGACGAGAAGCUUGCUUCUCUGAUGUUAGCGGCGGACGGGUGAGUAACACGUGGAUAACCUACCUAUAAGACUGGGAUAACUUCGGGAAACCGGAGCUAAUACCGGAUAAUAUUUUGAACCGCAUGGUUCAAAAGUGAAAGACGGUCUUGCUGUCACUUAUAGAUGGAUCCGCGCUGCAUUAGCUAGUUGGUAAGGUAACGGCUUACCAAGGCAACGAUGCAUAGCCGACCUGAGAGGGUGAUCGGCCACACUGGAACUGAGACACGGUCCAGACUCCUACGGGAGGCAGCAGUAGGGAAUCCUCCGCAAUGGGCGCAAGCCUGACGGAGCAACGCCGCGUGAGUGAUGAAGGUCUUCGGAUCGUAAAACUCUGUUAUUAGGGAAGAACAUAUGUGUAAGUAACUGUGCACAUCUUGACGGUACCUAAUCAGAAAGCCACGGCUAACUACGUG